rnacentral:rRNA from 1 species
GGCGGACGGGUGCGUAAUAUGUAGGGAUCUGCCCUGAAGCGGGGGACAACCCGGGGAAACCCGGGCUAAUACCGCAUAAUACUCUACGGAGGAAAUCUGGCACGCAAGUGCUGGGGCUUUAGGAUGAACCUACAUCCGAUUAGCUAGUUGGUGAGGUAACGGCUCACCAAGGCAAUGAUCGGUAGCUGGUCUGAGAGGAUGACCAGCCACACUGGGACUGAGACACGGCCCAGACUCCUACGGGAGGCAGCAGUGGGGAAUAUUGGACAAUGGGGGAAACCCUGAUCCAGCAAUGCCGCGUGGGUGAAGAAGGCCUUCGGGUUGUAAAGCCCUUUAGGCGGGGAAGAAGGUUGCAGGGUGAUAAGCCUUGCAAUUUGACGGUACCCGCAGAAUAAGCACCGGCUAACUCUGUGCCAGCAGCCGCGG